GGAAGGUGGGGAUGACGUCAAGUCAUCAUGGCCCUUAUGUCCAGGGCGACACACGUGCUACAAUGGCCGGCACAGCGGGAAGCGGAGGGGCGACCCUGAGCGGAUCCCUUGAAAGCCGGUCCCAGUUCGGAUUGCAGUCUGCAACUCGACUGCAUGAAGUUGGAAUCGCUAGUAAUCGCGGAUCAGCCAAGCCGCGGUGAAUACGUUCCCGGGCCUU
rnacentral:rRNA from 1 species